GAUGAACGCUGGCGGCGUGCCUAAUACAUGCAAGUCGAGCGAACGGACGAGAAGCUUGCUUCUCUGAUGUUAGCGGCGGACGGGUGAGUAACACGUGUAUAACCUACCUAUAAGACUGGGAUAACUUCGGGAAACCGGAGCUAAUACCGGAUAAUAUUUUGAACCGCAUGGUUCAAAAGUGAAAGACGGUCUUGCUGUCACUUAUAGAUGUAUCCGCGCUGCAUUAGCUAGUUGGUAAGGUAACGGCUUACCAAGGCAACGAUGCAUAGCCGACCUGAGAGGGUGAUGCGACACACUGGAACUGAGACACGGUCCAGACUCCUACGGGAGGCAGAAGUAGGGAAUCUUCCGCAAUGGGCGAAAGCCUGACGGAGCAACGCCGCGUGAGUGAUGAAGGUCUUAGGAUCGUAAAACUCUGUUAUUAGGGAAGAACAUAUGUGUAAGUAACUGUGCACAUCUUGACGGUACCUAAUCAGAAAGCCACGGCUAACUACGUG
rnacentral:rRNA from 1 species